UACGGAGGAGGCAAGCGUUAUCCGGAAUUAUUGGGCGUAAAGCGUCCGCAGGUGGCACCUCAAGUCUGCUGUCAAAGACCGGGGCUUAACCCCAGAAAGGCAGUGGAAACUGAAGUGCUAGAGUGCAGUAGGGGUAGAGGGAAUUCCCGGUGUAGCGGUGAAAUGCGUAGAGAUCGGGAAGAACAUCGGUGGCGAAGGCAGCUCGCUGGGACGGUACUGACGCUGAGACGCGAAAGCGUGGGGAGCAAACAGG
rnacentral:rRNA from 1 species